UCUUCCCUGCCAUGUUCGACAGGGGCUAAGUUCUCCUACCCAACACCGUUGAAAACGGGAGCUGGUGUUCGUCUGUGGACGGCAUGUCCGUUCUGCCGGAAGUUCCGGAAAGCAGGCGACAGGUUCCCACCUUAUGAAAGUAAGGUCAGGAGAUUCGCUCCACCGGCAUGGCGGGGAUUUU
rnacentral:other from 1 species